UUUGGCUUCCUCUUCUUCAUGCACAAACCCCAUCAGAGGGUCCUUCGCCGUCGCGCAAGGGUUCGCGCAUCCAAUCCAGCUUAGGGUUUUCUUCGCCACGCGAGAGGUGAUUGGGAGAGCUCGAUGAUCUGGUAAAGGGGCUCAUGUUUCUGGAUAUUUGCUUCGUAGAGCUCGAGAUGCGAAGAUGGAGGAACUGAGGGAUCCACUCCCUUUUCAAUCUUCAUAGACUCAAUAAUCAAGGUUCAUUUUCAUUGCAAAUGCACAA